GGGGUGAACACGGGGAGCAGCGGAGCCCCAAAAUGGCGGCGGGGCGGCCCGGGGGGGUGCAAAGCGCCGGGCCUGAGGUGGGCGCAGCCGUCAGCACUGAGCCGUGUGGGUGUCUGGCGGUGCCUCGCAGCCGCUGUGGGUCCUCAGCUCAUCUCUCAUCGGAAGGAGAUUUAAUUUGUUGGGCUCUGGAAGCGGAUCGGGCGGAGGUUUGUCCCCGUCCUGCAGCAGCACGGGAAGGCCGAGGCCUGAGGGCCGCAGGGACAGCGCGGGAAGGGCCGCUGUGAGCACAUCUCCAUUGGAGAACCCACUCUGUGUCACAUCCCUGCGGGCGCCUUUCCCGCACCGUAAGGACAGUGAGACCUCCACAGCUCCGCUGCCCCUCUCUGGAUGCUCUGCAGCACCUCAGCGUCUUUCUGGCACGGAGGGUCCCAACACUGAGCGCAGCACUCAAAGUGAAGCCUCACCACUGCUCCGCUCUGCGUUUGGGGUGAAGAUGCCUCGAGGUCGAUUCUGCUCAGGAUAAGACGUGGUUCUGCCACAGUGGGCCAACCCCACUUUGCUCAGAGCUGCAGACCCCGAACUGAGAGCUCAGCCUUCUCCCUGGGAGCCCCUAAAUGCCCCUUCGCACCGCUGCGAGCCGAUUUGACAGGGAGAAACAGAGAAAAGCCGCUGUGUUUUUUUUUUUUUCACCCUAACCUCACUUGCAGCCAGCAUGCUGGCUCUGAAAGCCCCUGGCUGUCUUUUGUGAUUUCAACAAAUCACCAGCACUUAAGCAAAGUGGGCAGAAAAUUACAGGUUGUAUUGCAAGUGAAUGGAGAGGGAGAGCACGCUGGGGCUGAGAAAACAGAGGUUUGCGGGUAUAAUAGAGCAAGCAGUGUCUGGCAGGCUGCGGAAGCCUGCAAAGCCAUCAGGUAUUAGUUAAAUGCUUCGCGGAGUUCACGCUGCGAGGCAUAAUCGCAGCUUCUGAACAGCGGCCAUUUGAUUGUCUCUAUUAUGUCCCUUUAGAAAUGAUUUGGGAGUUAUUUUGCUUUGAGCUGUCAAGGUUAAGUCAAGGAAAGCGCUCUCCCUGUGACAUUAGGCUCCGAGGAGGCAGAACCCCCCGGCAGAAUCCUUUGGGGAAGGCGGGUGGGAUGCCGCUGCUCUCCGAGGUCUUUCCUCUCGCUGGAGUUGCUCCUUGGCGUUGCUCCCUGUGGUUUUCCUGCAGCCAGGUCAGCUCUUCUGGGGAUGAAAUGCCCCUCGGGUUGCGUGCCUGGUGUCCAAAAGGCUCGGCCUCUGUGCA